rnacentral:rRNA from 1 species
UAAGUUCCGACCUGCACGAAUGGCGUAAUGAUGGCCAGGCUGUCUCCACCCGAGACUCAGUGAAAUUGAACUCGCUGUGAAGAUGCAGUGUACCCGCGGCAAGACGGAAAGACCCCGUGAACCUUUACUAUAGCUUGACACUGAACAUUGAGCCUUGAUGUGUAGGAUAGGUGGGAGGCUUUGAAGUGUGGACGCCAGUCUGCAUGGAGCCGACCUUGAAAUACCACCCUUUAAUGUUUGAUGUUCUAACGUUGACCCGUAAUCCGGGUUGCGGACAGUGUCUGGUGGGUAGUUUGACUGGGGCGGUCUCCUCCUAAAGAGUAACGGAGGAGCACGAAGGUUGGCUAAUCCUGGUCGGACAUCAGGAGGUUAGUGCAAUGGCAUAAGCCAGCUUGACUGCGAGCGUGACGGCGCGAGCAGGUGCGAAAGCAGGUCAUAGUGAUCCGGUGGUUCUGAAUGGAAGGGCCAUCGCUCAACGGAUAAAAGGUACUCCGGGGAUAACAGGCUGAUACCGCCCAAGAGUUCAUAUCGACGGCGGUGUUUGGCACCUCGAUGUCGGCUCAUCACAUCCUGGGGCUGAAGUAGGUCCCAAGGGUAUGGCUGUUCGCCAUUUAAAGUGGUACGCGAGCUGGGUUUAGAACGUCGUGAGACAGUUCGGUCCCUAUCUGCCGUGGGCGCUGGAGAACUGAGGGGGGCUGCUCCUAGUACGAGAGGACCGGAGUGGACGCAUCACUGGUGUUCGGGUUGUCAUGCCAAUGGCACUGCCCGGUAGCUAAAUGCGGAAGAGAUAAGUGCUGAAAGCAUCUAAGCACGAAACUUGCCCCGAGAUGAGUUCUCCCUGACUCCUUGAGAGUCCUGAAGGAACGUUGAAGACGACGACGUUGAUAGGCCGGGUGUGUAAGCGCAGCGAUGCGUUGAGCUAACCGGUACUAAUGAACCGUGAGG